rnacentral:rRNA from 1 species
GACGAACGCUGGCGGCGUGCUUAACACAUGCAAGUCGAACGAUGAUGCCCAGCUUGCUGGGUGGAUUAGUGGCGAACGGGUGAGUAACACGUGAGUAACCUGCCCCUGACUCUGGGAUAAGCGUUGGAAACGACGUCUAAUACUGGAUAUGACUGCCGGCCGCAUGGUCUGGUGGUGGAAAGAUUUUUUGGUUGGGGAUGGACUCGCGGCCUAUCAGCUUGUUGGUGAGGUAAUGGCUCACCAAGGCGACGACGGGUAGCCGGCCUGAGAGGGUGACCGGCCACACUGGGACUGAGACACGGCCCAGACUCCUACGGGAGGCAGCAGUGGGGAAUAUUGCACAAUGAGCGAAAGCCUGAUGCAGCAACGCCGCGUGAGGGAUGACGGCCUUCGGGUUGUAAACCUCUUUUAGUAGGGAAGAAGCGUAAGUGACGGUACCUGCAGAAAAAGCACCGGCUAACUACGUGCCAGCAGCCGCAGUAAAAC